AAUUAAUUAUUAACGCUAGCAUCAGCUAAUUUUGAUAUUAAAUAUUGUGUUAGUUUACCCCACAGUUGUGUCUACUUCCAAUCUGUAGCCUGAUUCAGCAUCAAGCUGUCAAGAUCAGGAUGGUCCAAUGAGGCUAGUCUAUCUGUUUAAAAUGAUUUCUCUGCUACUCUCAGCAUCAGAACAAACUGAACAUUGCAUCAUCUUACUCUCCAGUUUUAUCAGGUGUCCCUUUGUCAGUUGUUUUUGGUAUUGCUGCUCUGGCUGACGGUAAAAUGAGCAAUGCUGUGAGCUGACACUAGAGGGCAAAGUAAAAUAAGCACAGUUCUGAGCUGACACUAGAGGGCAAAGUAAAAUGAGCAGUUCUGUGAGCUGACACUAGAGGGCAAAGUAAAAUGAGCAGUGCUGUGAGCUGACACUAGAGGACAAAGUAAAAUGAGCAAUUCUGUGAGCUGACACUAGAGGGCAAAGUUGAACUAAUAAUAAUGAUCAUUAUUUUUAUCGCGCUUUUCAAUUCAAGUAACUGCUUCAUAUCAUAAAAUUAUUAAAUAAAAGUACUAACAAAGAAACAAAGACAGGAGGAAGUAACAUUUAAAAGAUAUCUAAUUCAAGUCAUAGAUAGCUAAUCAAAAGAUUUCUCAUUAAUAUCAUACAAAUAAUACUAACUUUAACUAGGAUACCGUACUUCAAUAACAGGUACAGUGAGUGAUACUGUACUCCAGUCAAGACUGAAACUAUCCUCAAACACUCAUACUACUGUACAAACAGUGGCAAAAUAUGAUCCACCAUUUUGAGUAACGCCAGCUUACUCCACUUGUAUUCCACUUGUGUAGUGAGACAGUCAAAUGUAAGAGCAUAAGAGAUUGUACAGACUUACAAUCUAAUCCAUCUGAGUUGUUGUUUACUAUAGAAACAGAUUUACACGCAACAACCGAGCUGUUUACCUAGCUAGCACAGAACGUGCAGAACUCACGUACACACUAAGGCCCGAGCCCCAAAAUAGCACCCUGUUCCCUAUAGAGUGCACUACCUUUGACCCGCCCCAAUAGGGAAUAGGGUGCCAUUUGGGACGUAGACUAACUCUGUCCCCACAUAAAUACACUUCAGCUCCCUCUGGAGAGUGAGCAAAUACUCCCUUGACUCCAUGCCAGUCUCCAUGCCAGUUUCCUUGCCAGUCCUAUGUUUGCUGUACCAAUCUGCCAGCCCAUGUCUGUCACUGCUCCAGUAGGCACACCUGUGUGUGUGUGCACAUAGAUGUGUGUGUGUGUGGGCGUGUAUGUCCUGCCAUCUGGGCACUCCCUACCCCACACUCACCCCACUUCCUGUCUCACACACCCUACCCAGCCUUCUCCAGGAACAUCCAGUACAGGGCUGCAGGACCUGUCUGUCUGGUUAUGUGGACAAACAAAGUCAGUCAGUGGUCUACUCACAGAGACAUACUGUAUCUACAGUAGAUAGACGGAUGGGGAGAGACCGUGACUGAGACCAAGACAGAAACCAAGACAGAAACCGAGACCAAGACAGAGGCCAAGACAGAGACCGAGACAUAGACCCAGAUCGAGACCAAGACAGAGAUCAAGACAGAGACAGAGACCAAGACAGAGACAGAGACCAAGACAGAGACCAAGACAGAAACCAAGACAGAGACAGAGACCAAGACCAAGACCAAGACAGAGACCCAGACCGAGACCAAGACAGAGACCAAGACAGAGACCCAGACCGAGACCCAGACCGAGACCAAGACAUAGACCGAGACCAAGACCAAGACAGAGACCGAGACAGAGACCAA
ensembl:lncRNA